UACGUAGGUGGCAAGCGUUAUCCGGAAUUAUUGGGCGUAAAGCGCGCGCAGGCGGUUUCUUAAGUCUGAUGUGAAAGCCCACGGCUCAACCGUGGAGGGUCAUUGGAAACUGGGGAACUUGAGUGCAGAAGAGAAAAGCGGAAUUCCACGUGUAGCGGUGAAAUGCGUAGAGAUGUGGAGGAACACCAGUGGCGAAGGCGGCUUUUGGUCUGUAACUGACGCUGAGGCGCGAAAGCGUGGGGAGCA
rnacentral:rRNA from 1 species